AUUGAACGCUGGCGGCAGGCCUAACACAUGCAAGUCGAACGAGUGGCGGACGGGUGAGUAAUAUAUGGGAAACUGCCCGAUGGCGGGGGAUAACUACUGGAAAGGGUAGCUAAUACCGCAUACCCUCGGAUGUGCCCAGAUGGGAUUAGCUAGUAGGUGGGGUAACGGCUAACCUAGGCAACGAUCCCGAGCUGGUCUGAGAGGAUGACCAGCCACACUGGAACUGAGACACGGUCCAGACUCCUACGGGAGGCAGCAGUGGGGAAUAUUGCACAAUGGGCGAAAGCCUGAUGCAGCCAUACCGCGUGUAUGAAGAAGGCCUUCGGGUUGUAAAGUACUUUCAGCGAGGAGGCGUUACUCGCAGAAGAAGCACCGGCUAACUCCGUGCCAGCAGCCGCGGUAAUUC
rnacentral:rRNA from 1 species